ACAUGCCGCAGGGUGGCGAUUCACAGGGCUGGCCCCUCCUUUGCUGCUGUAAAUGCAGGAGGGGGGAGAAGAAAAAAAGGGAGGAAGAAAGGAAAUCGCAGCCAUACGGGCUUGUGCUCCCCCAGCUGAACUCUGUCCGCAAUUCUGACGGUGGGAGAAAAGCGGCGAUGUGGCGACGGCGCUCCUCCCUCCGGCCCUGCAAACCUCAUCUGUCAGCCAUUAGUCAAUCAGCGCCGGCAACGCGCUGCCACGGAGAGAGCUGCCACGGAGAGAGCUGCCACGGAGAGAGCUGCCACGGAGAGAGCUGCCACGGAGAGAGGACAAGCUUCACCUCCGGCAGGAAAGCAGAGGCCGAAGGACCGGAGGGACCCCUGCGGCUCGGAACCCACAGCUGGGCCGCUGUGACUCGCCCACCCAGAAAUGGCGUCAACCUCGAGGCGACCCCACCCAAUGCGUAUCUUUGAGCAGGUAAGCCAGUAGGACACAUGGAAACUGUUACGCACCCAAGAGGAACCCGACCAGGGUUUACGUAUCUGUCACUCAGACAACGUGGCUUUCAAAGCAGCUCAGACUGCGCAAUACCUCCCACAGAGAAGGUGAAUUCCCCUGAAGCCAACGUAGAUCAACGCUGUCUUGUGUGUAAAUGUGCAUUUUUUUGAUGAAUGAUCAAAAAACCUUGGAACGGGGAGGACAAAGAUUAGGUUUUUGACACAAUCUGCUAAUAGGACUCCAUACCAGUUCUCAACAUCAGUUGCAUUAUGCAUCAUCAAGUAUGACAUUCGGACCAAGAGUUUGGUUUGUUUGUCUGUUUGUUUCAUUCCCCACAUUGUGUGGUUCAGAGUGAUAUCAUGUCUCAAAAGCGGGAGAGCCAAUCACAUCGCAGCACGCUCGCAAUGCAACAGGAUGGUAAUACCAAGCAUAUGGCAACCGUAGUUACAUGCACUCUUCAAAGGAGGUCUGUGUUGAUCCGGAGCAAGAACAAACUUGCAGGAGGAGACUGAAGGGAGCGUAGAAUUAUACCCCGAGCUACACGUCGACAGCGUGCUCCACGCUGCGCUUUUUCAACAAUAAUUGUUACUUAAUCACAAGUCCACGUAAUUGUUAUAGCUUAAUCAGUAUAUGUCCUCACGGUGCACAGAUUAAACCUCAAAUCCGAGGAAAAAGGCAGAGAAAGGAAAGAGACGUAGGCUCACAGAAACUCCAGGCUGCUUUUCUGUCUGUGCUCUUGUUUUGCAGGGAGCUUUUUUUUUUUUUUUUUCAAAGAGUCAAAACAACACAUGUUGUCAACAUGGGAACAGCCGGUAAGAGCGGCGUCAUGGGGCACAGGAAUGCCGAGGGGGCCAUAGAUCUUUUUAUCCAUCCGGGCCGCGGCCAUCCCGGCUCGUGUGGAACCACGCGCGGGAGCGGUGUGAAAUUCUCGAACCCAACACAUCUCACGCUUUGGCUUUACGUAUUGUUCGGCGUGACCGACCCCUCGCGGCGUGCGACCAACCGUAGAGAAUCAUCCGACGGUAACAAGAAAGCGAAAGGGAGGCGUUCCACAGGCACCAACGUGCAAAUUCAUCUCAGUUGACGUCAGCCGCCGGUGUGGAAAUAAUUCCCAGACUCGAUCGAUGCGGUUCCUUGUAUUUUGCCACGUCUCAAGAGUUAAAUAAACGAUUGGUUGAGUAAGCACGUACAGUUUCUCCAACACGGUUUCCUUUUUAAGUCAACACCACUCAAGAAAGACACGCCGAGAGAAACCCACGAGUCAAAAGCAAACGACAAAACAGAGACUCCCCGCCAGUUCAAACAUUCCACAGAGUACUUUUUCCAUCACUAUAUAUGAGCAGAGCAGUAUAGCUCAUAUGUGUACUCCACUGGAAUGAUGAACAGACAGCAAUAAUGCUAAUUCUUGAUGACAGAACUUAAAA